UACAGAGGUGGCAAGCGUUGUUCGGAAUUACUGGGCGUAAAGGGCGCGUAGGCGGUUCGUCAAGUCCUGUGUGAAAUCCCCCGGCUCAACUGGGGAACUUCACAGGAAACUAGCGGGCUUGAGUUCGGGAGAGGGAAGCGGAAUUCCGGGUGUAGCGGUGAAGUGCGUAGAUAUCCGGAGGAACACCGGUGGCGAAGGCGGCUUCCUGGACCGACACUGACGCUGAGGCGCGAAAGCUAGGGGAGCAAACGGG
rnacentral:rRNA from 1 species